rnacentral:lncRNA from 1 species
UUGGUUAUCUUUCUGCCUUUACGUGGGUUUUGAGAUUGACCUUAGGUCUUCAGACUUUUAUCAUCCCUCAUCUACCAUGAAGUUUUGCUAGUUUAUUGGUUCAAGCGGUCCUCCUGUGUCUCAGCCUCCCAUGUAUUCUUUCUAUCUCUGGAGGCAUUGAACUUCACGCCUUACUAGAGGCUGCAGAAUCUUCUACAUUCUUCAGCUUUGGAGGCCCAGGGUGAACAUGCCAUGGAGUGAGUAGUCACCCCAGAGAUUUCCUGCCUUGAUUCCAGAAGAACCUGGUAGAUCAGUUGAGGUCAAGCUCACUGACAUCCUCCUGUGCCUCAUCUACUAGGAUUACAGGGAUCUGUGUUAUUUAAAGAUGCGUGGCUGUGGAUUUCACCCAACAGGAGUGGCACAGAUUGGACCCUACCCAGAGGAAUAUGCACAAGGAUGUGAUGCUGGAGACCUACAGUCACUGGGUCUCUGCGUGGCCAAACCAGACAUGAUCUUCAAGUUGGAGUGGGGAGAAGAACUGUGUCUAUUAGAAGAGGAAUCCUCAGGUAUGUACAGCCCAAGUUGGCCUGAAACUCAUGAACCUCCUACUUCAG